AGCAGUAGCCGCGGUAAUACGGAGGGAGCUAGCGUUAUUCGGAAUUACUGGGCGUAAAGCGCACGUAGGCGGCUUUGUAAGUUAGAGGUGAAAGCCUGGAGCUCAACUCCAGAAUUGCCUUUAAGACUGCAUCUCUUGAAUCCAAGAGAGGUGAGUGGAAUUCCGAGUGUAGAGGUGAAAUUCGUAGAUAUUCGGAAGAACACCAGUGGCGAAGGCGGCUCACUGGCUUGGUAUUGACGCUGAGGUGCGAAAGCGUGGGGAGCAAACAGGAUUAGAUACCCGUGUAGUCCCUGUCUCUUAUAC
rnacentral:rRNA from 1 species